GAAUUGAUCGGCUCCCGUCCCGGCUCCCUCCGCGCUCACGCUUCCCUCGAUACAUCAGCUCGGCUAAAGUAUAUCCCUCCCUAAUUUCUCGAAGUCUCGAUGCGCCUGCUCAUCUACCGCCGCCGCCCGCGUGUUCCCCUCUGCUUCUCUCAUAGCAGCUAGCGCCGGCGGCGGCGGUGAGCGGCCGUGCCGUGCCGCGGAUGUGUCGUCUGGACAGCAAGUCUGAUUCUGAUAGGUUCUUCUCCUGGGUUGGACUGAUGGAUUAGGAUCAGUAAGAUGCAUAUUGUAGUAAGAUGCAUAUUGUGGAUUGAGCUCAAGCCUCACUUUUUAUCAUGGUGGUUAUGUAUUUUCUGUGCAAAAUAUAAAGGAGGAAAAUGCUCAGCCUGAAAGGACUUUAAUUGCCAUAAGAGGAUGGUUUUCAAAGGACUGUAGUUUAAUAUGCAGGCUUUGUAAUAUGUACUAUGUAAUCUGCGAAAUGUUAACAGUUUGCAAGGAUUGUAGUUGAGAUCAUACAAGCUGCAAUGUAAUUGCAAGGAAAUUUAUCCGUUUGUAAUAUGUACAAUUUUUGUAAAUCUGAAAUACACAUGGCAUGUUGGUGUUUUGAAUUAUACAAGGUGAUGGACGCGUCAA